GUGAGCGUAGCUCAGUCCGGUUAGAGCACUGGGUUGUGGCCCCAGUGGCCGGGGGUUCAAAUCCCCCCGCUCACC
rnacentral:tRNA from 1 species